rnacentral:rRNA from 1 species
GAUGAACGCUAGCUACAGGCUUAACACAUGCAAGUCGAGGGGCAGCACAGAGAUAGCUUGCUAUCUUGGGUGGCGACCGGCGCACGGGUGAGUAACGCGUAUCCAACCUGCCCAUUACUCUGGGAUAGCCUUGCGAAAGUAAGAUUAAUACCGGAUGUUGUUAAAAACCCGCAUGAGUUUUUCACCAAAGAUUUAUUGUUAAUGGAUGGGGAUGCGUGACAUUAGGUAGUAGGUGAGGUAACGGCUCACCAAGCCUACGAUGUCUAGGGGUUCUGAGAGGAAGGUCCCCCACACUGGAACUGAGACACGGUCCAGACUCCUACGGGAGGCAGCAGUGAGGAAUAUUGGUCAAUGGACGAGAGUCUGAACCAGCCAAGUAGCGUGCAGGAUGACGGCCCUCUGGGUUGUAAACUGCUUUUAGUUGGGAAUAAAAAGAGGGACGUGUCCCUAAUUGUAUGUACCAUCAGAAAAAGGACCGGCUAAUUCCGUGCCAGCCGCCGCGGUAACAC